rnacentral:rRNA from 1 species
GCUACACAUGCAGCCGAGCGGUAGAGAUCUUUCGGGAUCUUGAGAGCGGCGUACGGGUGCGGAACACGUGUGCAACCUGCCUUUAUCUGGGGGAUAGCCUUUCGAAAGGAAGAUUAAUACCCCAUAAUAUACUGAAUGGCAUCAUUCGGUAUUGAAAACUCCGGUGGAUAGAGAUGGGCACGCGCAAGAUUAGAUAGUUGGUGAGGUAACGGCUCACCAAGUCUACGAUCUUUAGGGGGCCUGAGAGGGUGAUCCCCCACACUGGUACUGAGACACGGACCAGACUCCUACGGGAGGCAGCAGUGAGGAAUAUUGGACAAUGGGUGAGAGCCUGAUCCAGCCAUCCCGCGUGAAGGACGACGGCCCUAUGGGUUGUAAACUUCUUUUGUAUAGGGAUAAACCUACCCUCGUGAGGGUAGCUGAAGGUACUAUACGAAUAAGCACCGGCUAACUCCGUGCCAGCAGCCGCGGUAAUACGGAGGGUGCAAGCGUUAUCCGGAUUUAUUGGGUUUAAAGGGUCCGUAGGCGGAUCUGUAAGUCAGUGGUGAAAUCUCACAGCUUAACUGUGAAACUGCCAUUGAUACUGCAGGUCUUGAGUGUUGUUGAAGUAGCUGGAAUAAGUAGUGUAGCGGUGAAAUGCAUAGAUAUUACUUAGAACACCAAUUGCGAAGGCAGGUUACUAAGCAACAACUGACGCUGAUGGACGAAAGCGUGGGGAGCGAACAGGAUUAAAUACCC